rnacentral:rRNA from 1 species
GACGAACGCUGGCGGCGUGCUUAACACAUGCAAGUCGAGCGGUAAGGCCCUUUCGGGGGUACACGAGCGGCGAACGGGUGAGUAACACGUGGGUGACCUGCCCUCAGCUCUGGGAUAAGCCUGGGAAACCGGGUCUAAUACUGGAUAUGACUCCAUGACGCAUGUUGUGGGGUGGAAAGCCUUGUGCGGCUGAGGAUGGGCCCGCGGCCUAUCAGCUUGUUGGUGGGGUGANGGCCUACCAAGGCGACGACGGGUAGCCGGCCUGAGAGGGCGACCGGCCACACUGGGACUGAGACACGGCCCAGACUCCUACGGGAGGCAGCAGUGGGGAAUCUUGCGCAAUGGGCGAAAGCCUGACGCAGCGACGCCGCGUGAGGGAUGACGGCCCUCGGGUUGUAAACCUCUUUCAGCUCCGACGAAGCGAGAGUGACGGUAGGAGCAGAAGAAGC